rnacentral:lncRNA from 1 species
AGUGUGACCUCACUCCACGGCAGGGUACGGUGGGGCCGCCUAACUCUACCCGAAGCUCACCCGAGGCUUUCGUAGCCACGUUCCUCUCUGACUCCGGCAUCGACGAGGUCGCCAUCCUCUUUCCUCCGCUGCGGAGGAACCCAUCGGCCUAUUGUAGGCCGGAACUACUUCCCCCGCUGGCCCCGGGAAAGACACAUUUUCAGUGUUCCGGAAGGUCGCUCCGAGGCCUCAAAACCAUAAUCGGGUCUCAACAGACUCUGGGACUUUAUACGUCGCCCGGUGUUUGGCACUGAGCCCACUAUGGUUUGGGGACUACUUUAUCUCGGCGGAGUGUUACGUAGGAAGUGGUUGUGACGUCAUUCUGGUCCCUUCCCUAGGCCGCAGGGUUGGGCGCGGCGAAUGCGCGCCCCGCUCUCUUGGGGCGUGGCUCCCAGUGGGGGGCGUGGCUCCCGGUGGCUUGGCCGCGCCCCUCCUACAACAGCCCGGAAGAGCGUGUGGCCGCGGGCGACUUUGGCUUGGCCAAAGAGGAAUUCAUGUUGUCAGUCAUUUUACCUGACUCAUUACUUAUUACUUAGCGCGCUGCUGCAACCCAAUCGAGCUCUGCCCGUUAGGUUUGAUGUGUUUUGUUGGGAAGGGAAUGUAUAAUUAUUGUACAGAUAGGGAAACUGAGGUCUGGGUAUGGGAAGGGCUGGUCCAAAAUCACAUCCAAUAAAGGGACUCAGGAGCUAAGUACGGAUGGCAGGAGUCGGGGAAAUGGAAAGAAGUUAAUGCUUGUCCCUUAGGUUUGUAUACAUAUUUGUUAACAUUAAUAGAGCUGAGGCCGGGCGCUGUGAGUCACGCCUGUAAUUCCAACACUUUGGGACGCCAAGGCAGGAGAAUCGCUUGAUCCCAGGAGUUCCAAACCAGCCUGGGCAAAAGAGCGAGACCCCAUCUCUACAAAAAAAAGAAAAAAAAGAAAAAUUAGCCAGGCAUGGUGGCGCGUGCCUAUAAUCCCAGUUGCU